UACGAAGGGGGCUAGCGUUGCUCGGAAUCACUGGGCGUAAAGCGCACGUAGGCGGCUUUCUAAGUCAGGGGUGAAAUCCUGGAGCUCAACUCCAGAACUGCCUUUGAUACUGGGAAGCUCGAGUCCGGAAGAGGUGAGUGGAACUCCGAGUGUAGAGGCGAAAUUCGUAGAUAUUCGGAAGAACACCAGUGGCGAAGGCGGCUCACUGGUCCGGUACUGACGCUGAGGUGCGAAAGCGUGGGGAGCAAACAGG
rnacentral:rRNA from 1 species